CUUCCUUGAAUUGUCAUAUCCUUUGCCCAUUUAAAAUAUUGGGUUCGGGGCUUCCCUGGUGGCACAGUGGUUGAGAGUCCACCUGCCAAUGCAGGGGACACAGGUCGUGCCCCGGUCCGGGAAGAUCCCACAUGCCGCGGAGCGGCUGGGCCCGUGAGCCAUGGCCGCUGAGCCUGCGCGUCCGGAGCCUGUGCUCCGCAACCGGAGAAGCCACAACAGUGAGAGGCCCGCGUACCGCAAAAACAAACAAACAAAUAAUAAUAAUAAAUUGGGUUCUGUUUUUCUUAUUUAAUUGUAGGUAUUCUUUAAUCUGGAAUUAAAUCUUUGUCUUUCACUUGUUUUUUUUUCACUUUAUGGUGUCUUUUUUUUAAAUUGAAGUUUUAAGUUUUCAGUAUAAUCAAAUUUAUUAUAAUUUUUUCCUUUUAUGGCCAACAUGAAGCUUCAGAAGAAAGUUGGACUGUGUUUAUGAAAGUCAGGAAGAUUCUGGAACAUCAGGUGGAGUUCUUAGGAAGAUCCCAAUAGAAGGCAGACUAACCCCACCUCCAUCUGGACUGACAGGAGGAGGAUUUGGGGGAAAGAAACCUGUCGCAUUUGCCAUGGUUGUUCAUCUGACAGUGAGGAGGCCUUGUGUAUCCUCUGUGAGGUUCAGACUAAAGUGGUCUCUCCCAGCUGUAAGCCAGGACCCGUGUGGGUGCCAACUGACUGCCCGGAGGUGGGGGCCUCAUUGCCAUACCAGGUGGGCCACAGGUGCAAGACACAGGUAGACGAGGAGGAGAAAACUCAGUGGGAAGAAGAGAGGGCAGCUGAGAAGGGAGAAGAUAGGAGGAGGGUGGUAUUCUCUGUGGCUGGUAACAAGAAAAGAAAGAAUAUGGCUCAUGAAAGAUUUCAGAAGCGCUUCAUUUCAGUAACAGACUUCAGAAAGGAUUGAUGUCUUGCCUUCUUGUUCCCCCUGUCCUCCAAAGCUUCGAGGUCACCUUUCAACUUCUGAGUCUCUUUCAGGGCUGCAGCACGAACCUUCACAACUCGUGAGAGCUCCCCUUCAUUCUUUUCAAGAAUGGAUUUCACCUUAGUAGAAAAAAAGAAAUGAUAAAUGAUUCUCCCAAAGCACAAUCAAUCAGCAAUUAGAAUAAGACAGCAAUUUAGAAACCAAAUUUAAAAUGUUUAAUUAAAUAUGCUUAUAUAUUAUUGUAAAUAAAAACUAGCUUUAGUAGCUGUUUUUCCCCUUAAAACUACAAAGCAAAAAAAAAAUCUGUUAAUAA